rnacentral:rRNA from 1 species
AGAGUUUGAUCCUGGCUCAGGAUGAACGCUAGCUACAGGCUUAACACAUGCAAGUCGAGGGGCAGCAUGGUCUUAGCUUGCUAAGGCCGAUGGCGACCGGCGCACGGGUGAGUAACACGUAUCCAACCUGCCGUCUACUCUUGGACAGCCUUCUGAAAGGAAGAUUAAUACAAGAUGGCAUCAUGAGUCCGCAUGUUCACAUGAUUAAAGGUAUUCCGGUAGACGAUGGGGAUGCGUUCCAUUAGAUAGUAGGCGGGGUAACGGCCCACCUAGUCUUCGAUGGAUAGGGGUUCUGAGAGGAAGGUCCCCCACAUUGGAACUGAGACACGGUCCAAACUCCUACGGGAGGCAGCAGUGAGGAAUAUUGGUCAAUGGGCGAGAGCCUGAACCAGCCAAGUAGCGUGAAGGAUGACUGCCCUAUGGGUUGUAAACUUCUUUUAUAAAGGAAUAAAGUCGGGUAUGCAUACCCGUUUGCAUGUACUUUAUGAAUAAGGAUCGGCUAACUCCGUGCCAGCAGCCGCGGUAAUACGGAGGAUCCGAGCGUUAUCCGGAUUUAUUGGGUUUAAAGGGAGCGUAGAUGGAUGUUUAAGUCAGUUGUGAAAGUUUGCGGCUCAACCGUAAAAUUGCAGUUGAUACUGGAUAUCUUGAGUGCAGUUGAGGCAGGCGGAAUUCGUGGUGUAGCGGUGAAAUGCUUAGAUAUCACGAAGAACUCCGAUUGCGAAGGCAGCCUGCUAAGCUGCAACUGACAUUGAGGCUCGAAAGUGUGGGUAUCAAACAGGAUUAGAUACCCUGGUAGUCCACACAGUAAACGAUGAAUACUCGCUGUUUGCGAUAUACAGUAAGCGGCCAAGCGAAAGCGUUAAGUAUUCCACCUGGGGAGUACGCCGGCAACGGUGAAACUCAAAGGAAUUGACGGGGGCCCGCACAAGCGGAGGAACAUGUGGUUUAAUUCGAUGAUACGCGAGGAACCUUACCCGGGCUU